GACGAACGCUGGCGGCGUGCUUAACACAUGCAAGUCGAACGGAAAGGCCCUGCUUUUGUGGGGUGCUCGAGUGGCGAACGGGUGAGUAACACGUGAGUAACCUGCCCUUGACUUUGGGAUAACUUCAGGAAACUGGGGCGCAUACCGGGUAGGAGCUACUGCUGCAUGUUGGGGGUUGGAAAGAUUCGGCGGUUGGGGAUGGACUCGCGGGUUAUCAGCUUGUUGGUGGGGGAGGGGCUGACCAAGGUUUUGAAGGGUAGCCGGCCUGAGAGGGUUACCGGCCACAUGGGGACUGAGAUACGGCGCAGACUCCUACGGGAGGCAGCAGUGGGGAAUAUUGCACAAUGGGCGGAAGCCUGAUGCAGCAACGCCGCGUGCGGGAUGACGGCCUUCGGGUUGUAAACCGCUUUCGCCUGUGACGAAGCGUGAGUGACGGUAAUGGGUAAAGAAGCACCGGCUAACUACGUG
rnacentral:rRNA from 1 species